ACUCCUACGGGAGGCAGCAGUGGGGAAUAUUGGACAAUGGGGGCAACCCUGAUCCAGCCAUGCCGCGUGAGUGAAGAAGGCCCUAGGGUCGUAAAGCUCUUUCAACUGUGAAGAUAAUGACGGUAGCAGUAGAAGAAACCCCGGCUAACUCCGUGCCAGCAGCCGCGGUAAUACGGAGGGUGCGAGCGUUAAUCGGAAUUACUGGGCGUAAAGCGCAUGCAGGCGGCCUGUUAAGUCAGAUGUGAAAGCCCGGGGCUUAACCUCGGAAUUGCAUUUGAAACUGGCAGGCUAGAGUCUUGUAGAGGGGGGUAGAAUUUCAGGUGUAGCGGUGAAAUGCGUAGAGAUCUGAAGGAAUACCAGUGGCGAAA
rnacentral:rRNA from 1 species